GAUGAACGCUGGCGGCGUGCCUAAUACAUGCAAGUCGAGCGAACAGACGAGGAGCUUGCUCCUCUGACGUUAGCGGCGGACGGGUGAGUAACACGUGGAUAACCUACCUAUAAGACUGGGAUAACUUCGGGAAACCGGAGCUAAUACCGGAUAAUAUAUUGAACCGCAUGGUUCAAUAGUGAAAGACGGUUUUGCUGUCACUUAUAGAUGGAUCCGCGCCGCAUUAGGUAGUUGGUAAGGUAACGGCUUACCAAGGCAACGAUGCGUAGCCGACCUGAGAGGGUGAUCGGCCACACUGGAACUGAGACACGGUCCAGACUCCUACGGGAGGCAGCAGUAGGGAAUCUUCCGCAAUGGGCGAAAGCCUGACGGAGCAACGCCGCGUGAGUGAUGAAGGUCUUCGGAUCGUAAAACUCUGUUAUUAGGGAAGAACAAAUGUGUAAGUAACUAUGCACGUCUUGACGGUACCUAAUCAGAAAGCCACGGCUAACUACGUG
rnacentral:rRNA from 1 species